rnacentral:lncRNA from 1 species
CUAUGCCACUCUCGCUACUAUGCCACUUUUGCUCGGUCCCGGUAGGUGGCAUAGUAGCGAGAUUUGACUGUACUAGCAACUAAACUUUGCAAUCUAUUUAUAUACCUUUCCGUACAGUACAGCAAUUAGCCCCUGAUGCACCAGCCCAGCCUGCAUAAGCUUUCAGAUUUUGAAGGGCCCCGAUCGGGGGGACGGGUGAAAGUAAGGGCUACGGGCUAUCCCGCUCCUAACUGACCGAACGCCCAUAGGGCGUAGCCGUUACGCGCUGACAGUGACCCGUAUGUCGGACUUUUCACUCCGCCCUCUGACCUCGCUCCCGCAUUUGCUGACCAGCUGUCGGACUCCACACUCGCCGCCCGAUGGGCUUCUACCUGCAACAACCGCUUUGGUCAUCGCACUCUCGGAAAUGCUGAAGAUCGGGGAUCGUGCUUAGUCAAAGCAUUGUAAUAAUGCCGACUACAAAACAGUCAACAGAUAACUCCACAGCGUGGCUGAAGAUGAGCCAAGCUGAAUGUAUAGUGAUAUUCAAGAUCCUGGAAGGGUUGUAAGAAAAUCAACUGACAUGGUAUAUGACGAGACUGGUUAUUCCCAAUCUGGAAUGAGUGGAAUUAUAAAAGAAGAACUAAAAUAUUUCAUCACUCUGCAUAUGAAACAGGAUUAUUGCUGUACCACAGCAGCCUGGGGAUAUUAUAUCUGCCACUGCUUACAAAUAGUUUGGAAGUAACUGGCAAGAAUGGAGGAACAAGUCCAAGGACAAAGCCAUCUGAUGAUGGGUCAUGCUGUUGAGGAGCACAGAGAAAUGUUUCGAAGCUUGCUCCACAUAUGAAUCAAGUUACGAAAUGUAGGUGAACAAGGAAUGACUCCAGCAGCAAUCCCAUGUUUCAGGUGAGAAAUUUGAUAGGCUGGAAGAGGAAUCUGUGUGUAGAGAAUUUAGGGGGGAAAGUGGCUGUUGUGAAAUCUAAUUAAAGCUUUUUUCGCAACAACUAGCCUGAAGACUUUGAAGACUCAAAUUCUUUGUUGUAAAUAAAUGUUAAAACCAU